rnacentral:lncRNA from 1 species
GUUGCAUCUGUCUUAAUGAGCUGCUAAUAUUCUUUGCCCUGAUGAAAAGCCAAUGCUUUAUUAGAGGGAAGCUAAAUCCAUUUUCUUUUCUACUGUCUUGACAUAGUUUGUCACCUCUAAUCCCUCUGGGCCAGCCCCCCGCAAAAUGCAGAUCAAGACCUGAGAAAAACAAAUUACUUUCUCACUGGAAAUGAAAAGAUCACAGGAUGACUUCAGUAAAUUUUAUGAUGUAUCUGAGAACAGGAAUUAGGGGAGGGCAUCACUGGAUUAGGAUUAGGAUGCAUCACUGACUCUAAGAUGAGCUCACUGGUGACAUUCACACUGCACAGAUAAAUUGAUUAUGUCCACUUGUACCAGAGCUAUUUCUGUUUAAUUGAACAGGGUCUGCAGGGUCUCUUCCCACUCCAGGCAUUCCUUGAUCCCAUGAACCAUCCAGGUGUAAUCUGGAGGGGGCUGCAAAACACCUCUCUUCCAGUAAAUGUACACUUGGAAGAGGUUUCCCCGUUAAAUCAUGCUGGGUUAUGAGAGAAAGUUGCUGGGAGCAAGACUAAUAAAUCACAGUGUCCCAUGGCUGAUGUCCCACUCCAAUGGAUGGAGAAGAUCACAAAGAUGUCCCAGUUUAUUUUUAUCCGUUGUCCUGGACACUAUUUUUGGAGUUUUGGAGAUAGAAAUUAAAAAUUCAAGAUUAAGGAGGACAUUCCCAGGCAGGGGAGAGCUCCAAAACCCAAAACACUGCUUGCAUAAAGGGUUGAGUGCCUUGCUCUUGGAUAUGGUUUGAAGGAGAGGGAAUGUGGCUCCUGCUCUUGGCUCCAGUCAGCUCUGCCACCCUCUAAACGUGAUGUGAUCACACCCUUGGGGCAGCACAGGCAGCAAGAGCUGCUCUGAAUCCCAGGAUUAUUUAAUCUUGAUGUGGUUUUGUGGAGCUCCUCCAUCACAUCUCCAGCUAGGCUGAGAAGAAGAAUCUAAAUUGUUGAAGGUUUUCUGAGGUAAGAAAAGGCCUCUGCAUUGCCUCAACAAAGGCAAAGUUUAUCCAUGUAGUUUUGGGAGCCAGGGGCUUUGUCCUUGGUGUCUGCAGCUCUCAGUUGUGACAAUCAGUGACACCUUUGAUGCAGCCCUUGCUCUACCCCACAGGACUGGGUAAAUGAAGAAUAAAUGACUUUUGAGGGCUGGUCA